rnacentral:rRNA from 1 species
CUACGGGUGGCACCAGUAAGGAAUAUUGCGCAAUGGAGGCAACUCUGACGCAGCCAUGCCGCGUGCAGGAAGAAGGCCUUAUGGGUCGUAAACUGCUUUUAUUUAGGAAUAAACCCCCGAACGUGUUCGGGGCUGAAGGUACUAAACGAAUAAGCACCGGCUAACUCCGUGCCAGCAGCCGCGGUAAUACGGAGGGUGCAAGCGUUAUCCGGAUUUAUUGGGUUUAAAGGGUGCGCAGGCGGGCUAUUAAGUCAGUGGUGAAAUCCCGGGGCUCAACUCCGGAAGUGCCAUUGAUACUGAUAGUCUUGAGUUUGGUUGAAGUGGGCGGAAUGUAGCAUGUAGCGGUGAAAUGCAUAGAUAUGCUACAGAACACCAAUCGCGAAGGCAGCUCACUAAGCCAAAACUGACGCUCAUGCACGAAAGCGUGGGGAUCAAACAGGAUUAGAUACCCUUGUAGUC